rnacentral:rRNA from 1 species
AGUGAACGCUGGCGGCGUGCCUAAUACAUGCAAGUCGAGCGCAGGAAAUCAUCCGAACCUUUCGGGGGGACGUUGAUGGAAUGAGCGGCGGACGGGUGAGUAACACGUAAAGAACCUGCCCUCAGGUCUGGGAUAACCACGAGAAAUCGGGGCUAAUACCGGGUGGGUCAUCGGACCGCAUGGUCCGAGGAUGAAAGGCGCUUCGGCGUCGCCUGGGGAUGGCUUUGCGGUGCAUUGGCUAGUUGGUGGGGUAAUGGCCCCCCAAGGCGACGGAGGAUAGCCGAGCUGAGAGGGUGCUCGGCCACACGGGGACUGAGACACGGCCCAGACUCCUACGGGAGGCAGCAGUAGGGAAUCUUCCACAAUGGACGAAAGUCUGAUGGAGCAACGCCGCGUGAAUGAUGAAGGCCUUCGGGUCGUAAAGUUCUGUUGUAAGGGAAGAACAAGUGCCGCAGGCAAUGGCGGCACCUUGACGGUACCUUGCGAGAAAGCCACGGCUAACUACGUGCCAGCAGCCGCAGUAA